AAUAAAUCACAUUUAUUUAAGUCUUUGCAGCUUUUGCCAAAACAGUUCAAAAUCAAUCUGUUUCCACUGAUCCUCCCUGAGAUGUUUCUACAAUUUAAACAGAGUCACUUUGUGGUGAAUUUAGCUGAUUGGACUGGACCUGGAAAGGCUCACAACUGUCUACAUAAGGCCCCACAGUUGGCAGUGCAGGUCAGAGGUAAAAACCCAAGCAUGAAAUCAAAUGAAUUGUCUGAGACGGGAAUGUCUCGAGGAACAAAUGUGAGGAGGGAUCCAGAAACAUUUCUGUCUCUGUUUCCCUCCAGAAACAGAAAUGUUUCAUCUCCAUGACGAUGGAAUCCAUCGUCAUGGAGAUCAGCACACAGAUGGCAUGUACCUCUCCUCAUCAAGGAGAGAAUGUGUUUUCUAUAGAGAUGAAUCUUCAAGAGCUGUUGGGAUAACGAGACAUCUUUGCUGGUGCUUCAUUCCUUUAUUCUGGAUCCACUGAUCGGAAAACAAGUCUGGACUGGGCCAGCAUUCUGCAAAGAGAUACCAGUACAAAACGACAAUAAUGAGAGAGGAAGACAACCGGACAGAAAGAGCAGAAGCUAAGAUCUGGAUGUUGGCCGUGGAUCAUUUGUGCCGUGCCGGUCCAGACCGUCCAGCAGCUCUGUUCUGUGUUGCUCUGAAGGCGGACCGUUGCCCUGCAGGCUUCCAGCCGCAUUCCUCAAGUUGUUCUUGGGCAUUUUAUUUGAUUUGUAGACCUUUUGGAUCCAAGAUGCAGCCACACAUUUCAUUGCAAUCAUAUAAGCAGUUUUGUUUCCUAUUUGCUCAGGAUUUCAACCAAUACAAUGUGACUUGUAUGACUGUUUUUAAAGGGUUAAAUCUGUUUAAAGCAGAUGAAUUGUGGUAUUUUUAAGGAUAUUUUUUCUGAGAGGAGAGAUAC